rnacentral:rRNA from 1 species
GUACGGGGGGGCAAGCGUUGUUCGGAAUUACUGGGCGUAAAGGGCUCGUAGGCGGCCAACUAAGUCAGACGUGAAAUCCCUCGGCUUAACCGGGGAACUGCGUCUGAUACUGGAUGGCUAGAGUUUGGGAGAGGGAUGCGGAGUUCCAGGUGUAGCGGUGAAAUGCGUAGAUAUCUGGAGGAACACCGGUGGCGAAGGCGGCAUCCUGGACCAACACUGACGCUGAGGAGCGAAAGCCAGGGGAGCAAACGGG